rnacentral:rRNA from 1 species
CGCGUAGGCGGCCUGGUAAGUCUGGAGUGAAAGUCCUGCUUUUAAGGUGGGAAUUGCUUUGGAUACUGCUGGGCUUGAGUGCAGGAGAGGUAAGUGGAAUUCCCGGUGUAGCGGUGAAAUGCGUAGAGAUCGGGAGGAACACCAGUGGCGAAGGCGACUGUCUGGUCUGCAACUGACGCUGAGGCUCGAAAGCAUGGGUAGCGAACA